GGUUUUGUCACACUCGUAUUCGGUCCCAUCACUGAAAAGAAUUUGCAUACACUUUCUUGAGCAGGGUUGGUUGGCCAAAGAAAAUGUGGUGGAUGUGCUUCAGUUAGCAAGGAUCUGUGAUUCACCACGGCUGUCCUUUAUUUGUGUUCGUAUGGUAGUGAAGGACUUCAAAUCUGUAUCAUCGACUGAAGGUUGGAAGGUUAUGAAGCGAACUAAUCCUGCCCUUGAACAAGAGCUUGUGGAGUCUGUCAUUGAAGCAGAUUCUAGAAAACAGGAGAGAUUGAGGAAACUGGAAGAGAAAAAGGUGUACUUGCAACUCUAUGAGGCAAUGGAGGCCCUCCUUCACAUAUGCAGGGACGGAUGCAGGACAAUAGGUCCGCGUGACAAAGUGCUGAAAGGAACCCAAAUCACAUGUAAUUUUCCUGCUUGCAAAGGGCUUGAGAACUUAGUUCGUCAUUUCUCCAAUUGUAAGACUCGAGUUCCUGGUGGAUGCGUUCACUGCAAGCGCAUGUGGC
rnacentral:misc_RNA from 1 species